rnacentral:rRNA from 1 species
GAUGAACGCUGGCGGCGUGCCUAAUACAUGCAAGUCGAGCGAACAGACGAGGAGCUUGCUCCUCUGACGUUAGCGGCGGACGGGUGAGUAACACGUGGAUAACCUACCUAUAAGACUGGGAUAACUUCGGGAAACCGGAGCUAAUACCGGAUAAUAUAUUGAACCGCAUGGUUCAAUAGUGAAAGACGGUUUUGCUGCCACUUAUAGAUGGAUCCGCGCCGCAUUAGCUAGUUGGUAAGGUAACGGCUUACCAAGGCAACGAUGCGUAGCCGACCUGAGAGGGUGAUCGGCCACACUGGAACUGAGACACGGUCCAGACUCCUACGGGAGGCAGCAGUAGGGAAUCUUCCGCAAUGGGCGAAAGCCUGACGGAGCAACGCCGCGUGAAUGAUGAAGGUCUUCGGAUCGUAAAACUCUGUUAUUAGGGAAGAACAAAUGUGUAAGUAACUAUGCACGUCUUGACGGUACCUAAUCAGAAAGCCACGGCUAACUACGUG